rnacentral:lncRNA from 1 species
UCACCUUGUGCUAAAAACAAGCAUGUCGUCCCUUCCUUUUUCUCCCUUGGUUUUCCAUGAUAAAACCUUUGAUUUUUGGGCAUUGAAAUCUGGUCUCUAUCCUUCUUCCAUGUCCCAAGGGCUGGUGGUUUAAAUAGGCUAAGAGAAAUUAGAGAUCGGGUAGGAAAUUAGAGUCCAAAAUGCUUAGGACUCUUAUCCCUUUGAUGCCGCCCAUAAUAAACUGAUUUGCUCCC